rnacentral:SRP_RNA from 1 species
AGGAAGCGAGCAGCGCCAGCGAGAAGGCACGGGUGACGAUGCUU